AGAUUUGAUUGUUCGCAAACGUCACAUCUCUUGUCUUUGGCUUUCGAGUGACGUUGAACACCAUUCAGCAAAAGGAGGGCAGUUUCACACAUUUCAGCGUGGCGGUGAGCGUAUCCUUACCCGAGACGACGUCAGGUUCAGGUCGCCCCAGAUGACGAACCCUGCGGCGCCGAGUGCUGCACUCUCCCCGAUGGUGUGGACCAGGUCUUUCUGCACACAGUACAGGACACAGUGGAGAGGAGCAGUGUGUGGCCCUCAGUGGAAAACAUUUGGACACCCCUGCUUUAAAUCUUUGUUUUUUUUCACCGUUCAUGGACGACAAAGCUGGAGGACUUUCCACAAUUUUACUUUAUUCUGGAAUUACACGCUGCAUUACAAAGAAAUCCUUCUACAUAUUUGGAGUAAUAAGCGACUCCCUAAUUGUCUUGAUUCCUGUAGCGAGACAUUUUGAACAUGUAUGUUUCCAAAGGUCAGAGGUCACAGCGAGGAAGUCUCGUGACAUCCACAGAGCUGAAACACGAGCUGAACGCUCUGACCGCAGCUGGAGCCUCAAUGAAAGACGCUCCGGCCAAGCGUCUCGUUGUGGUUUGUGGCAUCACAGGCGCUGUCGUGCGGUCCCAACAUGUCGCCCAACAAGCAUGAGUCCACUCUUACAUGAAACAGGAUCCUAGUCAGCAGGUCAUGACGUGAAGCAGGAAGUACAACCAUGUCAGCAGGUCAUGACUUGAAACAGGAAGUGUCAAUCAAUCAAUGUUUAUUUCUAUGGCCCUAAAUCACAAUUGUCUCAAAGAGUUGCACAAGCCACAACGACAUCUUUGGUUCAGAUCUCACAUAAGGGCAAGGAAAGACUCACAACCCAGUGGGAUGUCAAUGUGAAUGACUAUGAGAAACCUUGGAGAGGACCACAGAUGUGGGUGACCCCCCCACAUCAAGUACGACCAUGUCAGCAGGUCAUGACAAGAAACAGGAAGUAUGUGGUAAGGACCAUGUUAGUGUGUCAUGACACGAAACAGGAAGUACCGUAUUUUUCGGACUAUAAGUCUCAGUUUUUUUCAUAAUUUGGCCGGGGGUGCGACUUAUACUUAGGCGCGACUUAUGUGUGGAAUUAUUAACACAUUACCGUAAAAUAUCAAAUAAUAUUAUUUAGCUCAUUCACGUAAGAGACUAGACGUAUAAGAUUUCAUGGGAUUUAGCAAUUAGGAGUGACAGAUUGUUUGUUAAACAUAUAGCAUGUUCUAUAUGUUAUAGUUAUUUGAAUGACUCUUACCAUAAUAUGUUACGUUAACAUACCAGGCACCUUCUCAGUUGGUUAUUUAUGCGUCAUAUAACAUACACUUAUUCAGCCUGUUGUUCACUAUUCUUUAUUUAUUUUAAAAUUGCCUUUCAAAUGUCUAUUCUUGGUGUUGGGUUUUAUCAAAUAAAUUUCCCCCAAAAAUGCGACUUAUACUCCAGUGCGACUUAUAUAUGUUUUUUUUUUCUUCUUUAUUAUGCAUUUUCGGCAGGUGCGAUUUAUACUCCGGAGCGACUUAUAGUCCGGAAAAUAGGGUAUGUGAUAAGGCCCAUGUUAGCAGGUCAUGACACGAAACAGGAAGUAUGUGGUAAGGACCAUGCUAGCAGGUCAUGACAUGAAACAGGAAGUAUGUGGUGAGGCCAUUGCUAGCAGGUCAUGUGCACACCAGGAAGUAGUUGGAGUUCAAUGUGUUGACCCUCCUUAUUGGGACUUUCCAGCCAAGCCCGGAGCUUCCUUUGUUUUUUCACCGCACCUUUGGGAAGGGUUGGGUGUUUGUGGAUUGACGGACUCUUAUUGAAGACAGUGCGUGGUAUGCUGCUUGGACUCGCUGAACUCAGGAAGGACAAACCGGAUUCCAGGAAGGAGCGAGGCGGACGGGAUAGGUUGGAUUGAACCCGAGGCCAACUGCCAUGUAAACCACUACACGACCAACGUACACGUGCUGUUCUGCAUAGGCAGUGAUUGGGGAUGUAAAGUUGUGAAAAUGUCAUAUCACGGUGAGUGUGACCAAAAUGAUCACAUUUCUUUUGUUGAAUGUGCUGAAAAAGUACUUCUAACCCA